rnacentral:rRNA from 1 species
CUACGGGAUGCUCCAGUAAAGAAUCUUCCACAAUGGGGGAAACCCUGAUGGAGCGACACCGCGUGCAGGAUGAAGGCCUUCGGGUUGUAAACUGCUUUUCUGGGGGAAUAAUUCUGAAGGUACCCUAGGAAUAAGCACCGGCUAACUCCGUGCCAGCAGCCGCGGUAAUACGGAGGGUGCAAACGUUACCCGGAAUCAUUGGGCGUAAAGCGUCCGCAGGCGGCGCAGUAAGUCAGAUAUUAAAUCCUGAGGCUCAACUUCGGGACCGUGUUUGAAACUACUGUGCUAGAGUCUUGGAGAGGUGAGUGGAAUUCUACAUGUAGGGGUAAAAUCCGUAGAUAGGUAGAGGAACACCAAAAGCGAAGGCAGCUCACCGGCCAAGUACUGACGCUCAUGGACGAAAGCGUGGGGAGCGAACGGGAUUAGAUACCCCAGUAGUC